rnacentral:rRNA from 1 species
UAGGGAAUAUUGCAAAAUGGGCGAAAGCCCGAUGCAGCAACGCCGCGUGGGCGAUGAAGGCCUUCGGGUCGUAAAGCCCUUUUUGAGGGGAUGAGGAAGGACAGUACCCUCAGAAUAAGCCCCGGCUAACUUCGUGCCAGCAGCCGCGGUAAUACGAAGGGGGCUAGCGUUGCUCGGAAUCACUGGGCGUAAAGGGUGCGUAGGCGGGUCUUUAAGUCAGGGGUGAAAUCCUGGAGCUCAACUCCAGAACUGCCUUUGAUACUGAGGAUCUUGAGUUCGGGAGAGGUGAGUGGAACUGAGGGUGUAGAGGUGAAAUUCGUAGAUAUUCGCAAGAACACCAGUGGCGAAGGCGGCUCACUGGCCCGAUACUGACGCUGAGGCACGAAAGCGUGGGGAGCAAAC